rnacentral:rRNA from 1 species
UACGGAGGGGGCUAGCGUUGUUCGGAAUUACUGGGCGUAAAGCGCACGUAGGCGGCUUUGUAAGUUAGAGGUGAAAGCCCGGGGCUCAACUCCGGAAUUGCCUUAAGACUGCAUCGCUAGAAUUGUGGAGAGGUAAGUGGAAUUCCGAGUGUAGAGGUGAAAUUCGUAGAUAUUCGGAGAACACCAGUGGCGAAGGCGACUUACUGGACACAUAUUGACGCUGAGGUGCGAAAGCGUGGGGAGCAAACAGGG